CGACCAUCGUCAACGAGACAACAUUCGAACGCAUGCGAAAGAACCCUCUGAGCAAUUGGGAGUUCCUCAGCCGCACGGGCCUCCGGCCCGCCGAUUCCGUGCCUUUGAUGCGCAAAGGAAAAGUUGGCGACUGGAGGAAUCACUUUGACGAUGAGAUGAGCGACUUCGCGGACGCCCUCUGCAAGAAAAUGUUUGAACCAGUCAACUUGAAGCAUAGAUUUGAGUAACUGAUGAUAACUAAUACAGCUAACACAUAUAUAGGAUCAAAUGUCCUUAUACUCUAUUUACCACGCACCUGCGUGACAAAACCCCACGCAAGCAUCUGCUUAUGGAUGUAUUCAGGAGUGUAUAAUAGGAAUAAUCCCUAUUAUACACUCCUGAUGUAUUGUAACUUGUAAGCCAACAUUUUGUUGUAUGUAGACUAGCAAUUCUACGUCACAUUCAAGUACGUGUACGACUGUAUAGUCUAGUAGUAUAAAAUACCAGUGAUACUCUGAAAGUACGACGAUAGUCUGAAAAUUCUAUAUAGCAUUCGCCUCAUCAUGCUCUGUAAGUGCUAUGGUAGUCUGGAAGACCAAUAGCUGUUUGAAUUAUAAUUGUCAGUGUAAUAUU